AUUUUUUUAACGGCAGCAUCUAAAACAUUGUUUAGAGCAACGAAGAAUAGGAUCUAUUUUCGGGAAUUUAUAAUCGUCAUACCAGAGAAUUGGAAGCCAAGACAGCGAUACGAGAACGCCUUCGAUGUAGAGUUGGAUCGAGCACAAAUAAUUUUAGACAGAGCGAAUCCAGCAUAUGGCCAUGCACCAUACGUGAAACAGUUUGCAGAGUGCGGAUCACCUGGUCUUUAUAUUCAUUUAACUCCUGACUACAUUUUAGAUGACGCAGUGAUACAAAAAUGGGGAAAACCAG
rnacentral:sRNA from 1 species